rnacentral:rRNA from 1 species
AGAGUUUGAUCCUGGCUCAGGAUGAACGCUGGCGGCGUGCUUAACACAUGCAAGUCGAACGAACCUUCGGGUUAGUGGCGGACGGGUGAGUAACGCGUGAGAAUCUGCCCUCAGGAGGGGGAUAACGGCUGGAAACGGCCGCUAAUACCCCAUAUGCCGAGGGGUGAAAUGAAUUUCGCCUGAGGAUGAGCUCGCGUCUGAUUAGCUAGUUGGUGUGGUAAAGGCUCACCAAGGCAUCGAUCAGUAGCUGGUCUGAGAGGAUGAUCAGCCACACUGGGACUGAGACACGGCCCAGACUCCUACGGGAGGCAGCAGUGGGGAAUUUUCCGCAAUGGGCGCAAGCCUGACGGAGCAACGCCGCGUGAGGGAUGAAGGCCUCUGGGCUGUAAACCUCUUUUAUCAAGGAAGAAGAUCUGACGGUACUUGAUGAAUAAGCCACGGCUAAUUCCGUGCCAGCAGCCGCGGUAAUACGGGAGUGGCAAGCGUUAUCCGGAAUUAUUGGGCGUAAAGCGUCCGCAGGCGGUCUUGAAAGUCUGUUGUUAAAGCGUGGAGCUCAACUCCAUUUCAGCAAUGGAAACUAGAAGACUAGAGUGUGGUAGGGGCAGAGGGAAUUCCCGGUGUAGCGGUGAAAUGCGUAGAUAUCGGGAAGAACACCAGUGGCGAAGGCGCUCUGCUGGGCCAUAACUGACGCUCAUGGACGAAAGCCAGGGGAGCGAAAGGGAUUAGAUACCCCUGUAGUCCUGGCCGUAAACGAUGAACACUAGGUGUCGGGGGAAUCGACCCCCUCGGUGUCGUAGCCAACGCGUUAAGUGUUCCGCCUGGGGAGUACGCACGCAAGUGUGAAACUCAAAGGAAUUGACGGGGGCCCGCACAAGCGGUGGAGUAUGUGGUUUAAUUCGAUGCAACGCGAAGAACCUUACCAGGGUUUGACAUCCUGCGAAUCCCUUGGAAACUUGGGAGUGCCUUCGGGAGCGCAGUGACAGGUGGUGCAUGGCUGUCGUCAGCUCGUGUCGUGAGAUGUUGGGUUAAGUCCCGCAACGAGCGCAACCCACGUCUUUAGUUGCCAGCAUUAAGUUGGGCACUCUAGAGAGACUGCCGGUGAUAAACCGGAGGAAGGUGUGGAUGACGUCAAGUCAUCAUGCCCCUUACAUCCUGGGCUACACACGUACUACAAUGCUACGGACAAAGGGCAGCAAACUCGCGAGAGCUAGCAAAUCCCAUAAACCGUGGCUCAGUUCAGAUCGUAGGCUGCAACUCGCCUACGUGAAGGAGGAAUCGCUAGUAAUCGCAGGUCAGCAUACUGCGGUGAAUACGUUCCCGGGCCUUGUACACACCGCCCGUCACACCAUGGAAGUUGGCCACGCCCGAAGUCGUUACUCCAACCCGCAAGGGAGGAGGAUGCCGAAGGUGGGGCUGAUGACUGGGGUGAAGUCGUAACAAGGUA